rnacentral:rRNA from 1 species
AACGAACGCUGGCGGCAUGCCUAACACAUGCAAGUCGAACGAGACCUUCGGGUCUAGUGGCGCACGGGUGCGUAACGCGUGGGAACCUGCCCUUAGGUUCGGAAUAACUCCCCGAAAGGGGUGCUAAUACCGGAUAAUGUCUUCGGACCAAAGAUUUAUCGCCUUUGGAUGGGCCCGCGUUGGAUUAGCUAGUUGGUAGGGUAAAAGCCUACCAAGGCGACGAUCCAUAGCUGGUCUGAGAGGAUGACCAGCCACACUGGGACUGAGACACGGCCCAGACUCCUACGGGAGGCAGCAGUGGGGAAUAUUGGACAAUGAGCGAAAGCCUGAUCCAGCAAUGCCGCGUGAGUGAUGAAGGCCUUAGGGUUGUAAAGCUCUUUUACCCGGGAUGAUAAUGACAGUACCGGGAGAAUAAGCUCCGGCUAACUCCGUG